UGAAGAUGAGUGGUAUAUCUGGUGAAGGGCGGGCAUGGAUGCUUCUACGGUGUUAUUAGGAAUCUACCUCUCUCCAUUUCUCACCUCUGAUUUUCAUUGUGUGUUUUUGUUCUUUGGCAGGCUCUUCCUUCACAGUGUUCACCUGGCCACCAGCAGUGGUCACCUGUGUGGAAAGAGAGCACCACUUUCCCAUCGGCUCCAGCAAAAGUACCAGAAUUGGCUAUCAUUGUCUAACUGGGUCAGGAUAAUGGCUUAGGUCAUUUGUUCAUUGACCCUUCCACUGGUAGGGGAUGUUGGGGCUAUUUCCCUUAAAGUGAAAGGAACUAAAGAACAAGGAUUUGAUGAAAUGUCCCCAAAGUUACAAAGCAAACCAUUGCAGGAUUUAACUCAAGUCAAGUUUCUUCUUUUGAAUCAAAGGCACAAAUAUACCUUGUCAAGCUUAGUAAAUUUAAUCUUUGAUUCUCCAUUCUUCACUUUGAGCCAAUUUCUAAAAGAAUAUUUCUCUCAAAGAACUGAAAGCACCCUGGACAGAAGUAUGAGCCUGAGAAGUUCAUGAGAACAAAGUUGGAUAUUAAAGCCAGGAGAGAAAAUGAUGGCAAGAAAAAAGUCAUUUAGCGAAAGUUGAGGAGAUGCGGUAACAAGCGAGUCAGGUGGUGGGUUCGGUUUCUGAGAAGAGUCGGCAGGAUCUUCCAUUUCUCUGUAUGAAUAUUGUACUGCAACAGGACAAUGUUGUUCCUCCAGAGUACCACAGGAGGACCGGCUUCCAUGAAGAGUUUCUGGAAUGAGUCAAUGACAUGCCACCUGGAGGUUUUCUGACUUCACACAUUAGAGAGUUUACUGGUAUUUCUACAAGUGAAUCUAUGUCAGAUCUCCCCAACCAAGAAAGAAGCUGGAUUUGACUAAUGCCCUUGGUUGUUCAGAGCACAUCACAUUGUUCACAAAACUUCUGCCAUUUUGCUGUGUUGGAGGCAAAUUUGCAAGCCUUCUUCUGGAGCUGCCAGACUUCAUCGGGACAAGAUGUUUCAGAUAUGGCAAAGCGUGAUGUGGUAUACAUUGGGUGCAUAAAACAUGUGACUUCACACACAGGUGCACUUGCUGCUUAUUGUACCUCUGUAGGUUUGUAUCCUGCAAACAUAGGAAUUCUAGAAAUUCUAUUUCACGAGAGUCCCCUCA
rnacentral:lncRNA from 1 species